rnacentral:rRNA from 1 species
ACAUGCAAGUCGAGCGAAUGAAGGGAGCUUGCUCCUGGAUUUAGCGGCGGACGGGUGAGUAAUGUAUAGGGAGCUGCCCGACAGAGGGGGAUACCAGUUGGAAACGACUGUUAAUACCGCAUAACGUCUACGGACCAAAGUAUGGGACCUUCGGGCCAUAUGCUGUCGGAUGCACCUAUAUGGGAUUAGCUAGUUGGUGGGGUAAUGGCUCACCAAGGCGACRAUCCCUAGCUGGUUUGAGAGGAUGAUCAGCCACACUGGAACUGARACACGGUCCAGACUCCUACGGGAGGCAGCAGUGGGGAAUAUUGGACAAUGGGCGCAAGCCUGAUCCAGCCAUGCCGCGUGUGUGAAGAAGGCCUUCGGGUUGUAAAGCACUUUCAGCGAGGAGGAAGGGGUUGUAGUUAAUAGCUGCAACUUUUGACGUUACUCGCAGAAGAAGCACCGGCUAACUCCGUGCCAGCAGCCGCGGUAAUACGGAGGGUGCAAGCGUUAAUCGGAAUUACUGGGCGUAAAGCGCACGUAGGCGGUGUGUUAAGUUGGAUGUGAAAGCCCCGGGCUCAACCUGGGAAUUGCAUUCAAAACUGGCACGCUAGAGUAUGUGAGAGGGGGGUAGAAUUCCAAGUGUAGCGGUGAAAUGCGUAGAGAUUUGGAGGAAUACCAGUGGCGAAGGCGGCCCCCUGGCACAAUACUGACGCUCAGGUGCKAAAGCGUGGGGAGCAAACAGGAUUAGAUACCCUGGUAGUCCACGCCGUAGACGAUGUCUACUAGCUGUUCGUGGUCUUGUACUGUGAGUAGCGCAGCUAACGCACUAAGUAGACCGCCUGGGGAGUACGGUCGCACGAUUAACACUCACAUGAAUUGACGGASGCCCGCACAAGCGGUGGAGCAUGUGGUUUAAUUC